GACGAACGCUGGCGGCGUGCUUAACACAUGCAAGUCGAACGGAAAGGCCCUGCUUUUGUGGGGUGCUCGAGUGGCGAACGGGUGAGUAACACGUGAGUAACCUGCCCUUGACUUUGGGAUAACUUCAGGAAACUGGGGCUAAUACCGGAUAGGAGCUCCCGCAGCAUGGUGGGGGUUGGAAAGUUUCGGCGGUUGGGGAUGGACUCGCGGCUUAUCAGCUUGUUGGUGGGGUAGUGGCUUACCAAGGCUUUGACGGGUAGCCGGCCGGAGAGGGUGACCGGCCACAUUGGGACUGAGAUACGGCCCAGACUCCUACGGGAGGCAGCAGUGGGGAAUAUUGCACAAUGGGCGGAAGCCUGAUGCAGCAACGCCGCGUGCGGGAUGACGUCCUUCGGGUUGUAAACCGCUUUCGCCUGUGACGAAGCGUGAGUGACGGUAAUGGGUAAAGAAGCACCGGCUAACUACGUG
rnacentral:rRNA from 1 species